UGUGAGCUUGAGCUGUAGAGACAGAAAGGCAGGCGUUUCUGUCAAAGGAGAAGCUUCCAAAUUUGAGAUGAGCUGGGACCCUCAGAGCCUGUUCCUCCUCCCUGGCACAUUCCAGAAUGAAAGCAACAAGAGAGGCCUGGAGGGGAGCUGAUUCCGUGACUUCACAGGGACAGCAUCUUCUUCCUGGAGGAGGGCCCUAAUAAAGCUCUUUAAUAUUCUCGACAAUUCUAAUCAUCCAGAUAUUCCAGGAUCCCAAGGAAUUUGAAACCUGGGUAUGUUCUCCUCAUACCCAGAGCCAAAUGUGAACAAUUCCAGCUCCCGUAUAUCUAUCUCACCAGACAAGUGCAACUGAGAACAAAGCUACCUUUUACAGCUGCUGGUUUGGACCGUCGACUAUCUCCCCUACGUUCAGCAUCCACUAUUCAUGAACAGCGACAGCAAAAAGAGCAAGCACACUUUCUCUGAAGCAGACCCUGGACCAAUCAUGAGGAGACUCAGAUGCUGAACACAACAAAACCAAACCCAGCCAAACCAUGGGAGCACAAAGAAUCUCCAUGAAAUGUGUGAACAGUUCACAGCUACCCACUGAAUCACGGUGGUCAGGUGACUGUGCCAUGGAACCACAGACUGGAAGCUCUUAAAGGCUUUGCCUGCAGAUGGAGGGGAAACCGUGGGUCGUGAUUGUUUAGCUAGAUAUAAACAGCGAUGAUAAGCCCUGACUGGUAAAUUCUGGACAAGGGCCAAUGGAUUCAUUGGAGCCUAAUUCAAGCAUUUUGGUAGCUUGAUGAUCAUUGCUUCCCCUCCCUUCUGGGUUCGUAAUAAACCAACUGCAUAUAAAACUAGGUUGCUUCUUUCCAGCUUCUAGUAAUCCCUAUGCUUUUACAUGACACAGAAAAGCUUUGAGUUCAAAUCCCACCUCUGAUACCAACCCCGCCUCCGUCACUGUGGACAAGCACUAGCCUCUCUAAGCCUGAACUUUCUUGGUGGUGAAAUGAGGAAGUCGGACAAAGAUGCGUUUUCCUUCAUCAGUUUUGAUUGCA